rnacentral:rRNA from 1 species
GAUUAACGCUGGCGGCGUGCAUAACACAUGCAAGUCGAACGAUGAAACUUUAAUGAACCCUUCGGGGAGAAUUAAAGCGGAUUAGUGGCGAACGGGUGAGUAACGCGUGAGUAACCUGCCUUACACAAGGGGAUAGCCUUUGGAAACGAAGAAUAAUACCCUAUAAAACCAUAAAAGCACAUGCAAUUAUGGUCAAAGUGAUAGCGGUGUAAGAUGGACUUGCGUCUGAUUAGCUAGUUGGUGAGAUAAAAGCCCACCAAGGCAACGAUCAGUAGCCGGCUUGAGAGAGUGUACGGCCACAUUGGGACUGAGACACGGCCCAGACUCCUACGGGAGGCAGCAGUGGGGAAGUUUGCACAAUGGGGGAAACCCUGAUGCAGCGACGCCGCGUGAUUGAGAAGGCCUUCGGGUUGUAAAAAUCUUUUGUAUAGGAAGAAAAUGACAGUACUAUACGAAUAAGGUCCGGCUAAUUACGUG